CUUCUAUCUUGGAAACUAUGAAAAGCACUAGGGAGAAAUAGCUUGCACAUCAGGGAAGGCAGGGACAUCACCCACCAGGUGACCUGCUGUGGGCAGAGCCCCUGAGAAAUACCCAAGCUUCAUGGAUGUGGAGCAGAAAAACCUGGAGAAGACUUGGGUAUGUGAAUGAGAACUACUCCUGAAAAACCUGCCUGAAAAUAAUUCAUUGUUUCUGUAAAUUGGAAGGAUUUGAGGACAGGUCAGAGUUCCCAAUGGCAGUAAGACACUAACAGUAUUUUUCAAGUCUGUCUUGAGCAAACUAAGAAGAAAAAAUUACUUUUCUAACAUCAACCAGAAACUCCAAAGGAGCAUCAUCACGACACUGAACCAUCAUUACCAAGAGACCAACACGUACCUGCAGGAGAAGGUCUCCAUGAUUAACGGAUUCAUGACGUGAGUCAAUUCCAAGAUGCUUAAGGAAGAAGAAAAGGAGAUAAGUUCCC
rnacentral:lncRNA from 1 species